AGCGAACGCUGGCGGCAGGCUUAACACAUGCAAGUCGAGCGGGCGUAGCAAUACGUCAGCGGCAGACGGGUGAGUAACGCGUGGGAACGUACCUUUUGGUUCGGAACAACACAGGGAAACUUGUGCUAAUACCGGAUAAGCCCUUACGGGGAAAGAUUUAUCGCCGAGAGAUCGGCCCGCGUCUGAUUAGCUAGUUGGUGAGGUAAUGGCUCACCAAGGCGAGGAUCAGUAGCUGGUCUGAGAGGAUGAUCAGCCACAUUGGGACUGAGACACGGCCCAAACUCCUACGGGAGGCAGCAGUGGGGAAUAUUGGACAAUGGGGGCAACCCUGACCCAGCCAUGCCGCGUGAGUGAUGAAGGCCCUAGGGUUGUAAAGCUCUUUUGUGCGGGAAGAUAAUGACGGUACCGCAAGAAUAAGCCCCGGCUAACUUCGUGCCAGCCGCCGCCGUAAAAC
rnacentral:rRNA from 1 species